CCUCUUGACGCAAUGCAAGGUUAAAAAUACUAUUUAGUAAAUAUGUUAAAAAAAAAAAAAAAAUACUUGGCUUGUCAAUUAGUGAAAUACUGUAAAUCCAACCAAGAACUAGUUAAGAUAAAAAUUUUAAAGCGUUAACAACUCUUCUAUUACCUGUAACUCUCCAGUAAAAAUUUUCGGCGUGGAACUAUCGAAAGAAGUUUUUCUUCCCAUUCAUUUCGUUAUAUCGAUUAUAGUUAUAGAAAAUUGGUAACUAUAGGGAUCAAUAUCUAUUUUACUGUUGAAGUUUAUAAGAAUAUCGUUUUAAAAAUAUCAAAAUGUUAUUUUUAAGCGGUAUUUUCAUUAACGUCAUCGGCGACAAAACGUCUGCAAUGUAGGAAGGUCGCCAAUAUUUCUGGUUACGUAUGCUUUGUGACUCAUAGGGAAGAUCACGACUGCGCCAGUUAAGCUAGCUCUUCAGCACACCUUCUUGUUUUGUAACGCUCAUUCACUUUUGACAAUCGGGAGAAGAUUGUAAGAUAUUCAACAAGUGGCCACCAGAUUCUAUUGUCGAUCGAUGCCUGGAGUUGGUUACGGUAUCGUCCGAAGGUUCAUCGACCGUCUGUGCGGUCCGGUGUCCGAUCAUUCGCCCAGUGAUUCAGAAAUGCCCGUUGUCGUUAGACGUCAGGGUUAUGCUAUGAAAGUAACUGUAGUUAGUUUAGACGGCGCUACAUAUCCCAGACCCCAAAGUCCACUCGUAUAUCAGGUAAGUCAGGUUAUAUGACGUUUUAUGACGUCUGUCUUCUGUUUAGACGUAAUCGCACUAAAGUUACUUAAAAAAGUUUUACGAGGCGAAAAACAGCCGUCGUAAAGAUAAAUAUCGAGAGAUCCAAACACCUGUCAAACUACAGAAAGUCAGAAUUUCGUAACGUGGUAAUAUAAUUAUAAACACAGUUUUUGGCAUAGUUUUUAAUCGCUCGUUUCGGUCACAUUAACCUUGAUGCGCUAUAUGCAACGAGUACUUUAGUCUGUUUUUGGCGAUUCAUCGCGCGCGUGUUGUUAAUCGAAGCGUGUCGCUAUCGCGUAAAUCAUGGCGAACGUGCGAAACGCGUCAGCAAGCUGUAAAAUCAGUAAUGUUACAGUCAACUUCGUUUUGCUUCACGAAAAUCAUAAAACAGUUGCGUGGAAUUAAAUUGCAUUUAAGUGUAAAAAUUACUGCAGUUCGUUAAACUUUGUGUUAAUCAACAGCAUUCAAAACGAAAAAUCACC
rnacentral:lncRNA from 1 species